GCAUUAUUUCAAAAUAACUAUUUCAAAAUUAGAUAUUUCGAAAUAACACUGUAGUGCAGACAUACCCUCAGUCUGACCUGCCACCUGAAGCUUGCAGGGUCACCAGCUGCUGCAAAUGUCUCAGCAAGGGAAGCAGAGUAGAGGAAACAAUCUCCCCAGAUAUCGAACGUAACCAUAGAAUAUAGCCAAAAAGGGAUUGACACACUGAGCAGAAUUGUUAAUGUUUAACGAAUGGAAAUAAAGUUUUGAAUUCUCCUCCAAAAGGGACUGGUAGAAUUUGUCUGCCAUUGUGGACGCAGCAGGGAAAAGAAAAUAGAAGAAACUUCAAAAGGCAGAGCAUCCUUCUCCUGUCUGUGACUAACAAGUGUAGCUGUGUCUCCUAGCUACAAUCAAGCUGAGAUACCCAUCAUUACACAUAUGUGGACCUUAGGACUAAAAAUAAAUGCUGAGCCCAUAUUCAUAGAGUUCCUAGAAGACAAGGUAGCUUGAAUAAGGCUGAAGAGAGGGGAGAGCUCCGUCUGCCACCAGGGGCGGCUGAGAGGAACUGAGCGGGGCCAGACUGCGCACUACAGAUGAAAGUCACAAACAGCCUCUAGUGCUGCUUGUGCAUGCGCUGUCCGGCGGAACAUGGCGAUGUGAAGCCUCCGAUUCACAGCGCCGGGACGAGCCUGACACCAGACGUGGAGCACCCACGGGGACUACCCGAAGAAGAACUGCUACUUAUAGGGUUCCUGGGCUGGGACCCAAAGGAGUGGGCGGGUCUGGGUCCUCCCCACAUCCUAGCAACCACACCAGGGGCCAAAAGAAGAGACCUGGUCCCAGGCCAUAUACUGGACACUUCCUCUCUGCAGACAGUCGAGUAGAAACUACAAGACUCCCCUCCGCCACCGAGGGGUGCUCAUAAGAAGGGCAGAGCCCUUUACAGUUGAGGAGAAGAGCUUGCUCUGUCUGUGACCGAGGGUGGCAACGAAGGAACUGGUGAGAGCCAAGCCGCGCACACGAGAGAAAGGGUGAGAACAUGACAAGACGCUGACUACACAUGCGUGGUCCGGAUGACUACUGCUAUUGAAGACUCUGAUCUGUGGCACCGGGACGAGCCCAACACCUACAGUGGAGCAUCCACAGGGGUAUCUCUCAAAGUAGAAGUAAUUAUUCCACUCUACUCACUUGAUUAGGCCUCAACUGAAGUACUGUGUUUAGUUCUGAGCACCACAUCUUAGGAAAAAUAUGGACAAAUUGGAGAAGGUCCAGAGAAGAGCAACCAAAAUGAUUAAAAGUCUAGAAAAUAUGACCUACGAGGAAAGACUGAAAGAAUUGGAUUUGUUUAAUUUGGAAAAAAUAACGAAGAGGGAACAUGAUAAUAGCUUUCAAGCACCAAAAAGGUUGCGACAAGGAGGAUCAAGAAAAAUGAUUCUCCUUAACCUCUGAUGGUAGGACAAGGACCAAUUAUCUUAAAUUGUUGUAAGGGAAGUUUUGGUUGGCCAUUAGGAAAAGCUUCCUUCUUGUCAGGGUAUAUAAGCA